CUCAUUCAUUCCAAAGACAAGAUAUUAUUUCCUCUUCUUUGCAAAGGUAUUUUUACUUGAAGACUGUCAUGUUUCAUAUCAGUCUUUUCCUCUUUAGGCCUAAGAACUUCAGCUUUUACAUUUAUUUUUCAAGAUUUUAAAGGAAGGAAGUAAUUAAAGCAGGAAAAUAAAAUGGAACAUAAAUUUUUGCAACAGUAGAUCGUGCUGAUGUGAUAUCUUUGACAAAAGAAAUUAUCUAAAUUAAGAGGAAUGCUAUUGACGUCAUUUUCUUCAAGUCCAGAAGAACCAAUAAUACAGAACCAGUUUGGAAAUCUUGCAGCUGAGAGAGCACUUCUGAUGAACACAGCAAAGACGUACAGGGCCUUCAGAGCACAGAGAAGCAAUUGCUGUGUGGUGUGAUUGAAAUGAAGGAUUGAAAGGAGAUGUAGACAGUGGAUGUAAUAUGUCAGACUUCUGAAUAUAGUGAUCACAGCAAGAGCAAAGCUUGAUGGCAGAAGUUGGUUCAAUCUGGCUGGAGAAAUGUUUAACAAGAGUCCCGGGCUGGUGACUGAGUUUUCACAAAUUCAAGCUGGGAAAAAUGUGACAAUUUUCAUUAGGAAAGACUCGAGUGAUGGGUCUAUAGAAAUUGAAGAAAUCGGGCUCAUGCUGUGCACCUGGUUAGAGUGCUGCUCUUCUCUUUGGACAGGUGAGUACUAGUGAUAUAUGUCCUUAGGCAGUCACUGUGGGCUCGUGAUGUGGCCUGAUUUUCUUCUUCCAAAAUAAACACCUAACUCUGUUGCAGACUGCAGA
rnacentral:lncRNA from 1 species